GACGAACGCUGGCGGCGUGCCUAAUACAUGCAAGUAGAACGCUGAAGAGAGGAGCUUGCUCUUCUUGGAUGAGUUGCGAACGGGUGAGUAACGCGUAGGUAACCUGCCUUGUAGCGGGGGAUAACUAUUGGAAACGAUAGCUAAUACCGCAUAUCAAUGGAUGACACAUGUCAUUUAUUUGAAAGGGGCAAUUGCUCCACUACAAGAUGGACCUGCGUUGUAUUAGCUAGUAGGUGAGGUAAUGGCUCACCUAGGCGACGAUACAUAGCCGACCUGAGAGGGUGAUCGGCCACACUGGGACUGAGACACGGCCCAGACUCCUACGGGAGGCAGCAGUAGGGAAUCUUCGGCAAUGGGGGCAACCCUGACCGAGCAACGCCGCGUGAGUGAAGAAGGUUUUCGGAUCGUAAAGCUCUGUUGUAAGUCAAGAACGGGUGUGAGAGUGGAAAGUUCACACUGUGACGGUAGCUGACCAGAAAGGGACGGCUAACUACGUG
rnacentral:rRNA from 1 species